rnacentral:rRNA from 1 species
UGGUGGAGUGAUUUGUCUGGUUAAUUUCCGUUAACGAACGAGACCGCGACCUGCUAAAUAGGGCCUAACUCUCUGGGUUGGGUCGGCCUUCUUAGAGGGACUAUCGGUUGGUGUACCCGGUGGAAGUUCGCGGCAAUAACA